UCUCUUUAAAAAGUCUCAAUAUCCAACUAUAUUCAGAUUGCUGGGGAUAUCCCAGCUAUAGGGAUAAACGGCUUGCGUAAUACCCAUUACGGACCCGGGGGCGGUACCCGGCACCUCCACCAUAAAUUAGGGGGUGAUAUAGGAUCGACGAAUGCUUAAAGGUAAGUUUUUCUCUCGGUAUUGUACCACCGUUAUCGGGCUAUUUUAUAAAUGCUAACGAUGAAUUAGCGCUCGCUGCUUAAUCUAAUUAGGUAAGCGCGGUUCGGGAGACACCGGGCAACAGAAGUCUCCCACU
rfam:Marine metagenome 1096626765139, whole genome shotgun sequence.